GUGCAGCCGGGCUGUCCGCAGCAUGAAGCUGUCUUCUGACAGGCUUGUCUUUGUAGGCUGCCUGCCUGCCUGCCGGCCGCCUGCGGAAGUCCUCCCUGGGGCCUUUGCCGCCCCGGAGCUGCCAGGCAUCGCGGGCGCGCGCGCGCGCACACACAGAGGACCUGCGAACCGACCAGCUUCUCGGAGGGGAUGGGGUCGCGUGGUUGCCAGGACGUGGCGAUAAGAAGCAUCACUCGGAGGCCCGUUUCACGUAGAAGGGGUUUUCUUUUACUACCCUCGGAUGACUUCCUUCGUCACGCGUGGAUCUGCUCUAAGGCUGCCUGCCUGCCUGCCGGCCGCCUGCGGAAGUCCUCCCUGGGGCCUUUGCCGCCCCGGAGCUGCCAGGCAUCGCGGGCGCGCGCGCGCGCACACACACAGAGGACCUGCGAACCGACC
rnacentral:lncRNA from 1 species